ACGGGAGGCAGCAGUGAGGGAUAUUGCACAAUGGGGGAAACCCUGAUGCAGCGACGCCGCGUGAGUGAAGAAGUAUUUCGGUACGUAAAGCUCUAUCAGCAGGGAAGAAAAUGACGGUACCUGACUAAGAAGCCCUGGCUAACUACGUGCCAGCAGCCGCGGUAAUACGUAGGGGGCAAGCGUUAUCCGGAUUUACUGGGUGUAAAGGGAGCGUAGACGGUAUGGCAAGUCUGGUGUGAAAACCCGGGGCUCAACCCCGGGAUUGCAUUGGAAACUGUCAAACUAGAGUGCAGGAGAGGUAAGUGGAAUUCCUAGUGUAGCGGUGAAAUGCGUAGAUAUUAGGAGGAACACCAGUGGCGAAGGCGGCUUACUGGACUGUAACUGACGUUGAGGCUCGAAAGCGUGGGGAGCAAACAGGAUUAGAUACCCUGGUA
rnacentral:rRNA from 1 species